CAAACGUAGUUUCAAAUAAAACAUUAGGUUGUGGUCCUAAAAAUAAGAGUUAAAUCCUCUUCGAUUGCC
rnacentral:tRNA from 1 species